GCCAGUGUGGCGCAACGGUAGCGCAACUGAUUUGUAAUCAGUGGGUUGCAGGUUCGAUUCCUGUCACUGGCUCCA
rnacentral:tRNA from 75 species